GUCCCAGCUGUAAACGAUGCAAACUCGGUGAUGCAUUGGCUUAUGGCCAUUGCAGUGCCGCAGGGAAGCCGUUAAGUUUGCCGCCUGGGAAGUACGGUCGCAAGACUGAAACUUAAAGGAAUUGGCGGGGAGCACCACAAGGGGUGAAGCCUGCGGUUCAAUUGGAGUCAACGCCAGGAAUCUUACCUGGGGAGACAGCAGAAUGAAGGUCAAGCUGAAGACUUUACCAGACAAGCUGAGAGGAGGUGCAUGGCCGUCGU
rnacentral:rRNA from 1 species